UUUGGCCAUGGGCUAAAUCGUGGGCUAAAUUAGCCCACUGAUUUUGACCAAUCAGAAAGCAGAUUAUCAACAUGAACAAUAAUUGUUUUAUUUUCUGCAUCGCGAGAACGAGCCGACGAUAUGGACGGGAAGGGGGUCGUAAUGCCGUAUUUAUCUUCACAUCUUCGAACAAAACCGCACUACCUAAGCCACAAUACUGAAAAUGGCUAAUGUUCUCCAACAGUGUCGUCACUCAUCAUUGUUGAGUAUGGAGUAUGGAAAGAGAGAUACUUGAACAUGUUGGAAUGUCACCUUGAGGACCAAGAUAUGGGGAGAAUAAUGCUUGAAUGGUGCACAGAUGAGUCUUUUCAACUCUGGUAUGCUUCUCCAAGAAAACGGCCAUGCACAUCACCAGAAUGCUAGAACAGGAUCAGGGAGUGAAUAUCUGAGGAAGGGUUCUUUUCCAGUACUUUGAUACAAUUGUCUUCACUUCAUUUGUUUGCUGUUGGUAUCCGUUGCUCUUCUUUUUUGAUGAAUUCCUGCCUGCAUUCUCUCGUCAAUCAAUCAAGAUAGCGUGCUAUUUCGCAUUCCAUUGGCCAUGUCAUAAUCUACGCAUGAACAUGGACACUGAGUUAAAACUGGUAGCUUGCUCAAUCCCGUACAUCUCUUGACUGUCACCAGCUAUCUAUUCCUAGAGGUUUUAAAGCUACUGUACCACAGCCAAUUUGGACAGCACCAUCUCAAGACAUAAACUCCUGUACCUUGUAACACCAGGAUGUAAUAAAUUGACAGGUUUAUUACUUAUUUGCAAAGAAAAUAAUAUUUUCUUAGUUGUUGGGGUGUUUCCACGCAUUCCUGUAUUUCAAUAGUGAUCUAAUGACCAUCUUGCUUUUAAAACCCAAAUUCACAAUAUUUUUCUUGUUUGAUAAAAGGUUAGGUACAUGUUGGGUUAAUAAGCAACAGUUGUAUCAUACUUAACUCAGUUUUGCCAAGAGAUGGACUGACUUUAGGUCAUUCUUAUUAUUCAAGUCUAUUGUCUCACUUAUCUUUUUUUAAAUUAAGAAUCAAUGCUUAAAUCCUCAUGGUUUCAAUUUUAACCCUAUAGACUGGGCUAUUUCAACGUCUAAGAAGACUGGGGGGGGGGGUUAAGACCUGUUUAUUCAUAAAAUAGUCACUUGCCUUGGCAUGUGCAGCUCCCUAAUGUGUCAAAUUUAAAUCAUAUAAUUUCAUUUUGGUGAAUUAAUAUCCUUUUACUUUCCAGCUUUUCGUAGGCACUUCGAUACACUGAAAUGAGCACUAUAUAAAUGCAAACUACCAGUAAUAUUAUCAAUUUAAUAUUACUAUUAUUAUGAUUGAAUCAUCCUUCUUUAGUGUCUUUCAGAAAUAUAUUUGACAUUUUUUCCGAGUAUCUUAUCAUUCAUAGUGAUAAAUGUAGACAGUAAAUUAAAUUUUUGUGUCAUAUAAACGACUUUUGAUCUAAUUAAAAAACAACAAUGUACUGAAUAAACUAAUCUAUCUACUAUAAAUGUACAUACGUUUUGUUUAUAUAUUGUAUUCCAGGUGUGUUAUCAGCAGAAAACAUGAUUUUUUUUUCUCUCUCUCUCCAUGUGCCUGUGUUCAGUUAUUACAGGAGGC